GGGGUGCAGCAGGCGCGAAACCUCCGCAAUACACGAAAGUGUGACGGGGUUACCCAAAGUGCUCUUUCAAGAGCUGUGAUAGGUGAGUAAUGUUCCCUAUUAGAAAGGAGAGGGCAAGGCUGGUGCCAGCCGCCGCGGUAAAACCAGCUCUUCAAGUGGUCGGGAUAAUUAUUGGGCUUAAAGUGUCCGUAGCCGGUUUAGUAAGUUCCUGGUAAAAUCGGGUAGCUUAACUAUCCGUAUGCUAGGAAUACUGCUAUACUAGAGGGCGGGAGAAGUCUGAGGUACUACAGGGGUAGGGGUGAAAUCUUAUAAUCCUUGUAGGACCACCAGUGGCGAAGGCGUCAGACUGGAACGCGCCUGACGGUGAGGGACGAAAGCCAGGGGAGCGAACCGGAUUAGAUACCCGGGUAGUCCUGGCUGUAAACGAUGCAUACUAGGUGAUGGCACGGCCAUGAGCCGUGUCAGUGCCGUAGGGAAACCGUUAAGUGUGCCGCCUGGGAAGUACGGUCGCAAGGCUAAAACUUAAAGGAAUUGGCGGGGGAGCAC
rnacentral:rRNA from 1 species